rnacentral:misc_RNA from 1 species
GAUGAAGAACGUAGCGAAAUGCGAUAAGUAAUGUGAAUUGCAGAAUUCAGUGAAUCAUCGAAUCUUUGAACGCACAUUGCGCCCGCCAGUAUUCUGGCGGGCAUGCCUGUUCGAGCGUCAUUUCAACCAUCAAGCCCCCGGCUUGUGUUGGGGACCUGCGGCUGCCGCAGGCCCUGAAAAGCAGUGGCGGGCUCGCUGUCGCACCGAGCGUAGUAGCAUACAUCUCGCUCUGGGCGUGCUGCGGGUUCCGGCCGUUAAACCACCUUCAUAACCCAAGGUUGACCUCGGAUCAGGUAGGAAGACCCGCUGAACUUAGGCAUAUCAAUAAGCGGAGGA